rnacentral:tRNA from 1 species
CAAAAGAGUACUUAAAUAAAGCACUCGACUUACACUCGAACGAUAUUCUAUUAAUCUUUUUGA